AUGUUCAAGUUCACCUCCGCACCCAUGGAUCACACUCUCCACUCACCUGCCCCAUCUCCUGGCCUUGUUAAGCUAGGCAUGACGCCGUACGAGAAGGGGUUUUUUUAUGGCUUUUUUGCCGGUGUGGUGUUCAUCCUUUCCUCGUGCUCACGGGGGGAUCCUCUUCUGCAUCGGCAAGUUCAUCGUGGCCAAGGUCCGGGCUUUCUGCAACCCGCCAGGCGGAAGGCGCAGGCGGCGCGGAGGUCUGAGGCGCAUGCUAUUGCUACCUCGAUCGCAUGUCAAGAUCGGGUCCAGGCUCCAAAACCCUGGAAGGUGUGCAAGCUAGUACGUAGUACUAUGUUGUGUUGCUUUGCGUGUGUUUGGUCGUUGUCGUUCGAUCUGAGCUGGGCUAGUUGUAAUGAACUUAAUUAG
rnacentral:rRNA from 1 species